rnacentral:rRNA from 1 species
CAGGCCCUACGGGGUGCAGCGGGCGCGAAACCUCCGCAAUGUGAGAAAUCGCGACGGGGGGAUCCCAAGUGCCAUUCUUAACGGGAUGGCUUUUCAUUAGUGUAAAGAGCUUUUGGAAUAAGAGCUGGGCAAGACCGGUGCCAGCCGCCGCGGUAACACCGGCAGCUCUAGUGGUAGCAAUUUUUAUUGGGCCUAAAGCGUCCGUAGCCGGUUUAAUAAGUCUCUGGUGAAAUCCUGUAGCUUAACUGUGGGAAUUGCUGGAGAUACUAUUAGACUUGAGACCGGGAGAGGUUGGAGGUACUCCCAGGGUAGAGGUGAAAUUCUGUAAUCCUGGGAGGACCGCCUGUUGCGAAGGCGUCUAACUGGAACGGUUCUGACGGUGAGGGACGAAAGUUAGGGGCGCGAACCGGAUUAGAUACCCGGGUAGUCCUAACUGUAAACGAUGCGGACUUGGUGUUGGGGUGGCUUUGAGCUGCUCCAGUGCCGAAGGGAAGCUGUUAAGUCCGCCGCCUGGGAAGUACGGUCGCAAGACUGAAACUUAA